rnacentral:misc_RNA from 1 species
AAGUCGUAACAAGGUUUCCGUAGGUGAACCUGCGGAAGGAUCAUUAUUGAAGGAGAAUGGGUGGCAAGGGCUGUUGCUGGCUUGAAUGAGCAUGUGCACGUCUGUUGCUGCUUAUUUCAUUCAUUUUUCCUCCUGUGCAUGUUUUGUAGACACUUGGGAAAUGAGAGGUUGGUUGUAAUGUAAUGAAUUGACCUCUUGAGAUGAGUCUGGGAGUCUAUGACAUUUUUAUAAACACGGCUGUAUGUGUGUGGAAUGAGAUUGUAGGUUUUUAAUAGAAAAAGCCUUUAAAUGAUAAAGUACAACUUUCAACAACGGAUCUCUUGGCUCUC